rnacentral:rRNA from 1 species
AGUGAACGCUGGCGGUAGGCCUAACACAUGCCAGUCGAACGGCAGCACAGUAAGAGCUUGCUCUUACGGGUGGCGAGUGGCGGACGGGUGAGGAAUACAUCGGAAUCUACUUUUUCGUGGGGGAUAACGUAGGGAAACUUACGCUAAUACCGCAUACGACCUACGGGUGAAAGCAGGGGAUCUUCGGACCUUGCGCGAUUGAAUGAGCCGAUGUCGGAUUGGCUAGUUGGCGGGGUAAAGGCCCACCAAGGCGACGAUCCGUAGCUGGUCUGAGAGGAUGAUCAGCCACACUGGAACUGAGACACGGUCCAGACUCCUACGGGAGGCAGCAGUGGGGAAUAUUGGACAAUGGGCGCAAGCCUGAUCCAGCCAUACCGCGUGGGUGAAGAAGGCCUUCGGGUUGUAAAGCCCCUUUGUUGGGAAAGAAAAGCAGCAGGUUAAUACCCCGCUGUUCUGACGGUACCCAAAGAAUAAGCACCGGCUAACUUCGUG